UCUUUGCUAGUAUAUCGGUUAGUACACGCGCCUGUCAUAUCGUCUGCUCGCGCGAAAGCUGGGUUCGACUCCCAGGCAGAGAG